GGGGGUGAAUAUUUGGCUUCGACGGAAUUAAAGAGACAUUGAACUGCGUACCGUGUUCCCCGAAGACACGUUAAAAAAUCGGGAACAAAAAUAUAACUGGCGAAAAUAAUUACGCCUUAGCUGCGUAAAUAAAACGCAGCCGUUCUUCAUUCUCUCUCUUGCUGGGGUUUGGAUGAACGUCGCUUAGGUAAGAUAGCUGAUUCUGUUGUCUGUGCAGGUGAAGCGAAAUCUAUAGCAGGCAAGCUUUAAGUGAUCUUUGUCUGUUUGGCAGCUUAAAGUUUAAAAUGAAACAGACUAUGUAUGUAGAUGUUCUUUGGAUCUUAAUUUCGGACGCGGGUUCGACUCCCGCCACCUCCACUU
rnacentral:tmRNA from 1 species